rnacentral:rRNA from 1 species
AUGUGGGUGACGAGUAGGGGGUGCGAUCAGUACAGGUGUUUCGGAGAUGCAAUAACAUUUGACACCACCUAUAGGACAAACUUGUAUGAUAUGCCGUUUGGUCUGUUUGUCGGCGUCAACAACCACUUCCAGAGCAUAAUUUUUGGGGGAGCGAUGAUGAGAGACGAGAAAGAGGAAACAUUCAAGUGGAUAUUCAAGGAGUUUGUCUGUAUGGUGGGUGGGAAACACCCGCAGACAAUACUUACAGAUCAGGCACGCUCCAUGGAGCUGGCAAUCGAAGCAGAGCUGCCCAAUACCGUGCACCGCUGGUGCAAAUGGCAUGUUUUGAAAAAGGCGAAGGAGUCCAUGGGCGUUCUUUGGAGCAAGAACAGCGACUUCAAACUGGAAUUUCACAAGCAUGUCCAUCACAUGAUCACGGAAGAAGAGUUUGAGGAGGGCUGGAGCCAGAUGCUGGAUAAAUACUCCUUGAAGAAACAUCCAUUCUUAACACAGAUAUAUGAGGUCAGGCAUAAAUGGGCAAAGCCAUAUUUCAGAGGGGUGUUCUGUGCCAGGAUGACAAGCACUCAACGGAGCGAGAGCGCCAACCAUCUGUUGAAAGGUUACAUGCUGCGAGGGUGCCCAAUGCAUCUGUUUCUUAAGCAAUUCCAGAAACUGCAAUUUGACAGAGAGGCGGAGGAGAGUUUCCAGGAGAAGAGGACAUCCUGA